rnacentral:lncRNA from 1 species
CUUCGUACCCCGAAAAUUUAACCACAUAUGUGAAAAUGUCACAGCUUCGAAACAAGCUAUCAUACAUAUCCAAGUUUACGAUAUGGACUGAGCUACAGGAAAAAACGUUACCAUUAUCGCCUAUGGAAAAACAAUUAAAGAUAUUGAGCCAAUUUACAAAAGAUAAAUCAGAAGUUAUCAGAGUGAUCUAUGGAUGAUUUCACCUUGUACACCCGGGAAAAUUGUGAAAAUGAUGG